rnacentral:misc_RNA from 1 species
CGCACAUUGCGCCCUUUGGUAUUCCGAAGGGCAUGCCUGUUCGAGCGUCAUUUAAACCUUCAAGCCCUGCUUGGUGUUGGGUGCGGCCCCUCGGGGCCCUCCCGUAACCCGUCGGCGGUAGGCGUCGGCCCUGAGCGUAGCAAAACCCUCGCUCCGGUGCCCUGCGCCCCCCAGCCAGCAAACAACCUCUUAAAUUUUGACCUCGGAUCAGGUAGGGAUACCCGCUGAACUUAA